rnacentral:lncRNA from 1 species
UCGUCACCUCAACGUCAAUCGUGGAGAGUUCGAUGCUGAAAGAGUGAAACCGUAUUUCUGGUACCCUGGAUUGAACGCUCGCAAAAUAGUCUCAUCGCGAAUCGACACUUGAAAAAAUAUUGUGCCACGUGCUGCACGAAAGUCCGCCUGCUUGGGAAACGACUAUUUCAUGCAGCAACAAGGGCUCCAAAGCAGGUAUUCCAUAUUCGGCAACUCCAUCCACAAGAAGUGGCCGAAGGUGAUCUAUGCUUUCGGAUACGCAAUUUGGCAAGUCCGGAUCCUGCCGCUUGCACACCUUGAGGAAGUCAGCUGCAGGUCUGAGGACAUCGAUUUGAACAAAUUGAUCUGGGACUUAUUUAUAGCAAUGUUUGAAACAUGUAACAUUUAAAAAGACAGUUAAAAAGUUGUCUUGCUGAAGUUGUUUAAAAUUGCUGUGAAGCUCAUUUUACUACAGUAUUCAAAGUGAUGCAAAAGUCGAUUCACUUCACUGAAAAGUAUUGUAAUCUUAUCUAGAUUUUAUGUACGUACGAAAAGCAAUAACCUUGAACAAUUGAAUUUUGUUGAUUUACGUAUAGUAAGAAUUGGAAAAUAGAGUAAGCAGCAAUUUGCCUUUGAAACAACUUAUGUUAAUAUACGAGUUUACGGUUGGUAAAGUGGGUUAAUUUUGGUAAUUUACAGCUCCACAACGAAUUACUUGAUUCAAUUCAAGUUAUUUUAAUUAACUGACAUGAAUUAAAAGAAAUAUUUGAAUAUACCUUGAUCUAUAUAAUUUCGAAUAAAACUAUCUUCAAUCGAUUAGUUGAUGAGAUAUAAAUCCCUUGUCAACCAUUAACUCGUAGCAAUCCCCUCAAGGAUUGAUUGUUUCGAUUUUCAUGUGAAAUUCACAGUUACACAGCUUGCCUGAAAAGCAUUUGUUACCCGGAA